CCUACGGGAGGCAGCAGUGAGGAAUAUUGGUCAAUGGGCGAGAGCCUGAACCAGCCAAGUCGCGUGAGGGAGUACUGCCCUAUGGGUUGUAAACCUCUUUUGUCGGGGAGCAAAAGCCGGACGUGUCCGGCUGUGAUAGUACCCGAAGUAAAAGCAUCGGCUAACUCCGUGCCCGCAGCCGCGGUAAUACGGAGGAUGCGAGCGUUCUCCGGAUUUAUUGGGUUUAAAGGGUGCGCAGGCGGAUUUUUAAGUCAGCGGUCAAAUCGUGGGGCUCAACCCCAUCCAGCCGUUGAAACUGGGGAUCUAGAGUGUGCGAGAGGUAUGCGGAAUGCGUGGUGUAGCGGUGAAAUGCAUAGAUAUCACGCAGAACCCCGAUUGCGAAGGCAGCAUACCGGUGCACAACUGACGCUCAGGCACGAAAGCGUGGGUAUCGAACAGGAUUAGAUACCCUAGUAGUC
rnacentral:rRNA from 1 species